UGGGUCUAUAGCUCAGUCGGUAGAGCAACGGCCUUUUAAGCCGCUGGUCGAGGGUUCGAAUCCCUCUGGACCCAU
rnacentral:tRNA from 1 species